GAUGAAGAACGCAGCGAAAUGCGAUAAGUAAUGUGAAUUGCAGAAUUCAGUGAAUCAUCGAAUCUUUGAACGCACAUUGCGCCCGCCAGUAUUCUGGCGGGCAUGCCUGUUCGAGCGUCAUUACAACCCUCAGGCCCCCGGGCUUGGCGUUGGGGAUCGGCGGAGCCCCCCGUGGGCACACGCCGUCCCCCAAAUGCAGUGGCGGUCCCGCCGCAGCUUCCAUCGCGUAGUAGCUAACACCUCGCGACUGGAGAGCGGCGCGGCCACGCCGUAAAACACCCAACUCUUCUGAAGUUGACCUCGAAUCAGGUAGGAAUACCCGCUGAACUUAAGCAUAUCAAUAAGCGGAGGA
rnacentral:misc_RNA from 1 species